rnacentral:tRNA from 1 species
GCUCGCGGUCGAGCGCAGCGGCCAGCACCACGGCACUGGUGGUGCCGUCGAGCAUCGCCACCGGCUGGUCGAUCAGUUCCAGGUUGGCCGGCGCGCG